AGAGUUUGAUCCUGGCUCAGAUUGAACGCUAGCGGGAUGCCUUACACAUGCAAGUCGAACGGCAGCACGGACUUCGGUCUGGUGGCGAGUGGCGAACGGGUGAGUAAUGUAUCGGAACGUGCCUAGUAGCGGGGGAUAACUACGCGAAAGCGUAGCUAAUACCGCAUACGCCCUACGGGGGAAAGCAGGGGAUCGCAAGACCUUGCACUAUUAGAGCGGCCGAUAUCGGAUUAGCUAGUUGGUGGGGUAACGGCUCACCAAGGCGACGAUCCGUAGCUGGUUUGAGAGGACGACCAGCCACACUGGGACUGAGACACGGCCCAGACUCCUACAGGAGGCAGCAGUGGGGAAUUUUGGACAAUGGGGGAAACCCCGAUCCAGCCAUCCCGCGUGUGCGAUGAAGGCCUUCGGGUUGUAAAGCACUUUUGGCAGGAAAGAAACGUCAUGGGUUAAUACCCCGUGAAACUGACGGUACCUGCAGAAUAAGCACCGGCUAACUACGUGCCAGCAGCCGCGGUAAUACGUAGGGUGCAAGCGUUAAUCGGAAUUACUGGGCGUAAAGCGUGCGCAGGCGGUUCGGAAAGAAAGAUGUGAAAUCCCAGAGCUUAACUUUUGAACUGCAUUUUUAACUACCGAGCUAGAGUGUGUCAGAGGGAGGUGGAAUUCCGCGUGUAGCAGUGAAAUGCGUAGAUAUGCGGAGGAACACCGAUGGCGAAGGCAGCCUCCUGGGAUAACACUGACGCUCAUGCACGAAAGCGUGGGGAGCAAACAGGAUUAGAUACCCUGGUAGUCCACGCCCUAAACGAUGUCAACUAGCUGUUGGGGCCUUCGGGCCUUGGUAGCGCAGCUAACGCGUGAAGUUGACCGCCUGGGGAGUACGGUCGCAAGAUUAAAACUCAAA
rnacentral:rRNA from 1 species